rnacentral:rRNA from 1 species
UACGUAGGGGCCUAGCGUUGUCCGGAAUCAUUGGGCGUAAAGAGCGCGUAGGCGGCCAGAUAAGUCCGGUGUGAAAGUCACAGGCUCAACCUGUGAAUGCCGCUGGAAACUGUAUGGCUAGAGUCCGGAAGGGGCGAGUGGAAUUCCUGGUGUAGCGGUGAAAUGCGCAGAUAUCAGGAGGAACACCAAUGGCGAAGGCAGCUCGCUGGGACGGUACUGACGCUGAGGCGCGAAAGCGUGGGGAGCAAACAGG